rnacentral:rRNA from 1 species
AGAGUUUGAUUCUGGCUCAGGAUGAACGCUGGCGGUCUGCUUAACACAUGCAAGUCGAACGGAGUGCUUCGGCACUUAGUGGCGGACGGGUGAGUAACGCGUGAGAAUCUGCCUACUGGAUGGGGAUAACGACUGGAAACGGUCGCUAAGACCCAAUGAGCCGAGAGGUAAAAGUAUUUAUAGCCAGUAGAUGAGCUCGCGUCAGAUUAGCUAGUUGGUGAGGUAACGGCUCACCAAGGCGAUGAUCUGUAGCUGGUCUGAGAGGAUGAUCAGCCACACUGGGACUGAGACACGGCCCAGACUCCUACGGGAGGCAGCAGUGGGGAAUUUUCCGCAAUGGGCGAAAGCCUGACGGAGCAAGACCGCGUGAGGGACGAAGGUCUGUGGAUUGUAAACCUCUUUUGAUUGGGAAGAAUGAUGACGGUACCAAUCGAAUCAGCCUCGGCUAACUCCGUGCCAGCAGCCGCGGUAAUACGGAGGAGGCAAGCGUUAUCCGGAAUUAUUGGGCGUAAAGCGUCCGCAGGUGGUUAUACAAGUCAGUUGUUAAAGCGUGGGGCUUAACCUCAUAUAGGCGAUUGAAACUGUAUGACUGGAGUAUGGUAGGGGUCAGGGGAAUUCCCAGUGUAGCGGUGAAAUGCGUAGAUAUUGGGAAGAACACCGGUGGCGAAAGCGCCUGACUGGGCCAUUACUGACACUGAGGGACGAAAGCUAGGGGAGCGAAAGGGAUUAGAUACCCCUGUAGUCUUAGCUGUAAACGAUGGAUACUAGGUGUUGACCGUAUCGACCCGGUCAGUGCCGUAGCUAACGCGUUAAGUAUCCCGCCUGGGGAGUACGCUCGCAAGAGUGAAACUCAAAUGAAUUGACGG